ACCUGGUGGCCGGCCGGGGGU
rnacentral:misc_RNA from 1 species